rnacentral:rRNA from 1 species
GAUGAACGCUGGCGGCGUGCCUAAUACAUGCAAGUCGAGCGAACAGACGAGGAGCUUGCUCCUCUGACGUUAGCGGCGGACGGGUGAGUAACACGUGGAUAACCUACCUAUAAGACUGGGAUAACUUCGGGAAACCGGAGCUAAUACCGGAUAAUAUAUUUAACCGCAUGGUUCAAUAGUGAAAGACGGUUUUGCUGUCACUUAUAGAUGGAUCCGCGCUGCAUUAGCUAGUUGGUAAGUUAACGGCUUACCAAGGCAACGAUGCGUAGCCGACCUGAGAGGGGGAUCGGCCACACUGGAACUGAGACACGGUCCAGACUCCUACGGGAGGCAGCAGUAGGGAAUCUUCCGCAAUGGGCGAAAGCCUGACGGAGCAACGCCGCGUGAGUGAUGAAGGUCUUCGGAUCGUAAAACUCUGUUAUUAGGGAAGAACAAAUGUGUAAGUAACUAUGCACGUCUUGACGGUACCUAAUCAGAAAGCCACGGCUAACUACGUG